CCUACGGGAGGCAGCAGUGGGGAAUAUUGGACAAUGGGGGGAACCCUGAUCCAGCGACGCCGCGUGAGUGAAGAAGUAUUUCGGUAUGUAAAGCUCUAUCAGCAGGGAAGAAAAGGACGGUACCUGACUAAGAAGCCCCGGCUAACUACGUGCCAGCAGCCGCGGUAAUACGUAGGGGGCAAGCGUUAUCCGGAUGUACUGGGUGUAAAGGGAGCGUAGAGGGGUCAGAACGUCUGAUGUGAAAGUUCGGGGCCCAACCCCAGGAUUGCAUUGGAAACUGUUAAACUGGAGUACAGGCGAGGUAGGCGGAAUUCGUAGUGUAGCGGUGAAAUGCGUAGAUAUUAGGAAGAACACCGGUGGCGAAGGCAGCUUACUGGACUGCAACUGACGUUGAGGCUCGAAAGCGUGGGGAGCAAACAGGAUUAGAUACCCUAGUAGUC
rnacentral:rRNA from 1 species